GAUGAACGCUAGCGACAGGCUUAACACAUGCAAGUCGAGGGGCAGCGAGGGCGUAGCAAUACGCCUGUCGGCGACCGGCGCACUGGUGAGUAACACGUAUGCGACCUGCCCCCUACAGGGGUAUAACCCGUAGAAAUGCGGACUAAUCCCCCAUAGUCCCGCGGGCUGCAUGGCCUGCGGGGGAAAGGGUUUCCGGUAGGGGAUGGGCAUGCGGCGCAUUAGCUAGUUGGCGGGGCAACGGCCCACCAAGGCGACGAUGCGUAGGGGUUCUGAGAGGAAGGUCCCCCCACACUGGUACUGAGACACGGACCAGACUCCUACGGGAGGCAGCAGUGAGGAAUAUUGGUCAAUGGGCGCAGGCCUGAACCAGCCAAGUCGCGUGAGGGAGGACGGUCCUACGGAUUGUAAACCUCUUUUGUCGGGGAGUAACGUGCGGGACGCGUCCCGUAUUGAGAGUACCCGAGAAAAGCAUCGGCUAACUCCGUG
rnacentral:rRNA from 1 species